UCUGAGAAAAACUAAUCUCAUGAAACAGUAUCCUCAACUUCAUUUCAUCAAAAUUUCUUUGUUUUCCUUUCUACUUUUACCAUACACUUCUAUAGGUUUAGAUUGACAAGAAAAUCAAAAGAGAACGGUGUUUUUUUUUACUCUCUUACCUCUGUCCUUUGCAGCAUCAAUUUUCUCAGAAGAAUCUGAAAUCUCUGUCAUUUUAUAUUUUGUCUUUGUCAGAGAAGAAAUGAGCCAAUAAUAAGAAGAAAAGAUCACAUGAACCAAAGAAAACAAAGUGAUUUUGUAAGAACGAAAUGAUAUGUUUACAUAAGAUCGAGAUGAGCUCGUUGGCUUUAGAAGUCAUGGUCGAAAAGAAAGUUGGGUCAACUAGAAUCCUCGACUUGGGGACUUCGAGGUUGAGCCCAAUGAAGAGUUGGGUCCAAAGGUGGCAACUCCCCCUCUCUUGGCUAUAUGAAAGAAUGCAAGAAACAAAAGAGAAUGUAUGGGAAUGGUUAUUUUGUGUAGGGAUUUGAAUAGUUGUUUAAGGAUUUAUAUGAUUUUAAGUUUUAUUUUCCUAGUCCUUUAUUAAUGGGAAAAUAAGAACGAAAUAAAAUAGAAAAUGUAUAAAAAAAAAAAAAAAAA